GAUGAACGCUGGCGGCGUGCCUAAUACAUGCAAGUCGAGCGAUCAGACGAGGCGCUUUACACUCUGACGUAAGCGGCGAACGGGUCAGUAACACGUGGCUAACCUCCCUAUAAGAAUGGGAUAAAUUCGGGUAUCCGGAGCUAAUUCCCGUUCUUAUAUUGAACCGCAUGGUUAAAUAGUGAACGACGGAUUUGCUGUCACCUAUCGAUGGAUCCGCUCCGCAUUAGCUAGUUGGGAAGGUAACGGGUUACCAAGGCAGCGAUGAGUAGCAGACCUGAGAGGGGGAUAGGCGACACGGGAACGUGGACGGGGUCCAGGGUCCUACGAGAGGCAGCAGUAGGGAAUCGUACGCAAUGGGCGAAAGCCUGACGGAGCAGCGCCGCGUGAGUGAUGAAGGUCUUCGGAUCGUAAAACUCGGUUAUUAGGGAAGAACAAAUGUGUAAGUAACUAUGCACGUCUUGACGGUACCUGAUCAGAAAGCCACGGCUAACUACGUG
rnacentral:rRNA from 1 species